CUGUGGUUACUUUUGCACUACAAUGGCAGAGUUGAUUCUUUGUAAGGGAGACCAGCAAAACUUACAAUAUUUACUGUCUGGCCUUUUACAGAAAAAGGUUGCUGAUCCUUGAUUUAGAGCAUGAAAAUUGGAUUUUGCAUUCCACUUUUACUGCUUAACAAGUGGACUUUUGGGUUUGCUGAAGAAGAAAAAGAAGGAGAAGGAGAAGAAGAAGAGAAAUGUAAUUAACAAGAAAAAAAACUUAUUUGAGGGCUAUGAACACCUUGAAUAUUUAACAGAAUAUCAGCUACUCAUCUGUAACUCAUCUGUAACCAUUCUCUACAUGGCUAAACUUUUAGUAAUAAUGUAGGUAUUUUCUGGCCAAGAGAAAGAUAGGAUAUAUGUGUGUGUGUGUGUGUGUGUGUGUGUGUGUGUGUGUGUAUAACAGAAGAAAAUGAAAAGAAAAUAAAAUAAAGGAUAUUUUGGAGUCAGUGAGUAAAUAUUUACUUUUAGAGC
rnacentral:lncRNA from 1 species